ACGAACGCUGGCGGCGUGCUUAACACAUGCAAGUCGAACGGAAAGGCCCUGCUUUUGUGGGGUGCUCGAGUGGCGAACGGGUGAGUAACACGUGAGUAACCUGCCCUUGACUUUGGGAUAACUUCAGGAAACUGGGGCUAAUACCGGAUAGGAGCUCCUGCUGCAUGGUGGGGGUUGGAAAGUUUCGGCGGUUGGGGAUGGACUCGCGGCUUAUCAGCUUGUUGGUGAGGUAGUGGCUUACCAAGGCUUUGACGGGUAGCCGGCCUGAGAGGGUGACCGGCCACAUUGGGACUGAGAUACGGCCCAGACUCCUACGGGAGGCAGCAGUGGGGAAUAUUGCACAAUGGGCGGAAGCCUGAUGCAGCAACGCCGCGUGCGGGAUGACGGCCUUCGGGUUGUAAACCGCUUUCGCCUGUGACGAAGCGUGAGUGACGGUAAUGGGUAAAGAAGCACCGGCUAACUACGUG
rnacentral:rRNA from 1 species